UUGGUUUGUUACGGGUGGUUGGCUCUUUGCUUGUGCAACAACUAUCACCUGGCAAACCUCUUCAUUUAUGUGUCAAGGCUUCUGUCUUGGCGCAUUGUGGGUUUCCUGUGUUGCCUACCAAAGUGACGGUAUUCUGAGGAUUGAACCUAGUCCCUUUCGUCUUGUGUUACACUUGUGGUACGAGAUGAACCGUGUGAAGCUGUUUCUAUGAACCACAUUGUUGAUGUGCAUGUGUCAAUAUUGUGGCCCAUUAAACAUUGCUUGGUCUUAAGAAUGUAGAAGCUAAUGUGAGCACGGGUUCUUUGUUAGAGCCUUGUUCCAGCCUUUUUUAGCGUUCACGCAUCUCUAAAAUGACAUCCCAUCAUGUAGUGGCUCGUACCAGCAUGGUAGGUUUUGUCUAAGAGGAAUGCUACCUGGUUGAUCCUGCCAGUAGUCAUAUGCUUGUCUCAA
rnacentral:rRNA from 1 species